AUAGUUUUUUCAUAAGAUGUAUUGGUCCAUUUGUAUAUUACAGUUUGCAGUUUAACUACUUUUGUUCACUUUGGUUAUUGGUCAUAGUAGUCAUUUACUUUGUAAUAUAAUACUUUAAGCCAAUUUAUAACAUUGUCUUAGUAGCUGGUAUGCUUCUUUUUGUUUAAGCACGUUUUUGUUUCUUCUUCUUCUUCUUUUUGCUUCACUUUUCAUCUUACUCAUUCAUUUUACCAUUUCUUCAAUAAUAUGGGCAGUGCAAAAGGGUGAGUUACAUAUAGCAGUAACCCCGCUUACUUCAGGUAAAAGAAAACGGGCGCUCUUUUGACUACAGAAAACGCAAUCUUCCGCCAUUUUGUAACUGCAGUGCUAUUUAUGGCAUGCCAGUUGGUUCUGUCUUAUAAAUUACAAGUUCACUCCUUUGAGUUUAAAGACAACUGGAUAGCCGGUUCAUUCCUGUAAGUUACAGGACAACUGCAUUGUUGCAUUUUCUCUGGUUUACCAAUUCUUGUCUUCUCAGAUAUAUAUAAACUGAUAUUUUUUUAGAUACUCAUUUCAUUUUUAAAUGUGCCUUCCUACCAAGUAGUCACAAUUAUUAGACCACCAUUACUUAAAAUUUUGACAAAAAAGAUUCAAGAUUCUUCUUGAAUGCUGUUCUUGCAUGAUUUUCCUUUAGCGCAACUAUUCAAUGCUAGUCACAACCAACGAAAAUGUGUUAGAAGUCCUUUGGUUACUUGUUUUGCUCCGGUAUUACUUUCUUCCACUUUACCAAGCCAAUUAGUUAAUGAGUGGCUAUUGUAAUGCAGUAGAACUAUUUCUUUAUACCUAGUGCCAAUGUAUAGCACUUGAAUAUUACUACUGGCCAACAUGGUACAGCCACACUGCCCUUUAUAUCACAUGCUCAGGUAUAACAACUUUCUUUAAGUCCCUCCUCCACGCAGCAUGAAAGAAAACGGACAUCGAAAACGCUCGCCCAUGGCAAUUAUCAUACAUCCUCAUCACACCAUCAUAGAAAACGUACAUCGAGAACAUUCUACCUCUUGGGAUUAUCAUACACCUGCAACAACCUUCGUACAAAUGAAACAACCAACAGAAACCGUUUUAUUCAUACACACUACCUUAACUGUGUUCCAAUUUAAGAAUGCUAAAGAGAAAAAUAACUCGCCAAUGUAUUUAACAGUAGGAUCUUCUGAUUUACCUGUACCAACACGGGCAAAUGUUGCAUAUAUUUUCCUACCCUUGCAACACCUGCCACAUGUCAGCCACACUUAUCUAUCAGGAAGGCAGGUAAGAGGACCCGUUUCUAACAAAGGUGAUAGAUGUUCAUCUGGCAACCCUGAGAAGUAAAAUUGAGGUUUAAAAAGUAAGUUCAACGUUAAGUGUUUUUUUUUAUACAAAGAGAGUACGUAUUUUGUCUAACUUUGUUAGUUCUACUUUUUUUUUUUUUUUUUUUUUUUUGAAGCUACAUAUCUGCCAUUUAUUUAGAUUUUUUACAGAUUAAUCAACCAAUACAAUUAACAGUUCAAGAUUCACACUAAUUAAACAGCUGAUCAAAGUUAAUCGCAUAUCGCGACUAACUAUGAAGUGUUAAUAAAAAGGAAACACAAUUCAUGCUAAAAGAAAACACACAGAUCUAAGCGGGAACAUUCCACAAAUGAAAGCAAAUGACGCGUUAACACAGACAACAUAAAAGUGAGGAAAUUCUCUGGAAAGGUUCGAGUGAACGAAGCAAAACGGGUUCAUCCACAAGCCAGUCGCGUUCGAAACCUUUGAGCUUCGUUCACAAGAACAUCCUAUUUUUUCUCACUUAACAUGACGUCGGAUGAAAUUUCGUCACACAACAAAAGCAAUCAUAAGUUAACAAGAAACAAAAACAGAAUGUAGCUCGACUAUUAUUUUUUUACAUUUUUUUGUUUGUUUUGAAAUGCUGCAGCGUUGGUGAGCAAAGCGCUCAGGGCACCCUCAUGGUAAUGCCCAGUAAGGGUGGCGGGAGGUCAAGCUGGGUCAAAUGACUUAGCUGUUUUUACUGGCGACUGACCAGAGGGUGACGUUUGUUAUCGUCGGUCUCGGAAGAUUCAUGUCCCUCCUCAUCACGCUCAGUUGUGUCCUCAGCGUCUUCUCCGCUGUUCCUGGCGCUUAGAGAUGGGUGUCCGACCUGUGCCAGGGCGCUGGGGCCUUCGCGGAGAACAUGGGGAAUGGGGAUUCCAGAUCGCUGUGUGGGCCUGAGGGGUCUGAUGGUGGAGGUCGUGAGCCCAGCAAUGGGGCGCGGAGACUCCUCAGUGGCAGUUCUGGUGGGUCGGCUACCGAAAGCAGAGUGGUCGGGGCUGGCGCCAACGCUGUAGUCCUCACUGCCCAAGAUGGUGUGCCGGGAGCCUCCAAACACGGGCUUGUUCUUGUCUUCAACGCUGCUCACUGUGGUACUGACACCUGACACGCUGUGGGCAGUUGGGGACACCUGGGGCACUAAGACCGCUGGGUCGCUAGGAGCAGCGACGGCCACGGCCACCACAACCAGCAGAGAAAGACCUGAAAGAACCCUCAUUUUGGAAAGGCAGUUAAUUUUUUCUGUGAGAGCUCUUCACAAGUCACACUUGGUCUGUGCCCCAGGUGUCCCCAACUACCC
rnacentral:lncRNA from 1 species